AGAGUUUGAUCCUGGCUCAGGACGAACGCUGGCGGCGUGCCUAAUACAUGCAAGUCGAACGGAUUGCCUUCGGGCAGUUAGUGGCGGACGGGUGAGUAACACGUGAGUGACCUGCCCUGGAGUGGGGAAUAACUCUGCGAAAGCAGCGCUAAUACCGCAUUCGCUUACAGCUUCAUUGCUGUAAGUAAAGCUCAAUGCGCUUCAGGAGGGGCUUGCGGCCGAUUAGCUAGUCGGUGGGGUAAUGGCCUACCGAGGCGACGAUCGGUAGCUGGUCUGAGAGGAUGACCAGCCACACUGGGACUGAGACACGGCUCAGACUCCUACGGGAGGCAGCAGUAAGGAAUAUUCCACAAUGGCCGCAAGGCUGAUGGAGCAACGCCGCGUGCGCGACGAAGCCCUUCGGGGUGUAAAGCGCUUUUCCCAGGGAUGAGAACGGACAGUACCUGGGGAAUAAGCCUCGGCUAACUACGUGCCAGCAGCCGCGGUAAUACGUAGGAGGCGAGCGUUGUCCGGAAUCACUGGGCGUAAAGCGCGUGUAGGCGGUGGAGCUAGUCUGCUGUGAAAACGCUCCGCUUAACGGGGCGAGGUCGGUGGAAACUGCUCGACUAGAGGACGGUAGAGGUAGGUGGAAUUCCCGGUGUAGGGUGAAAUCGCCGUAGAGAUCGGGAGGAACAACCUGUGGCGAAGCGGCCUACUGGGCCGGACCUGACGCUGAGACGCGAAGGCGCG
rnacentral:rRNA from 1 species